GGACUACCGGGGUAUCUAAUCCCGUUCGCUCCCCUGGCUUUCGCAUCUGAGCGUCAGGUGCUCCCCAGGACACUGCCUUCGCCUUCGGUGUUCCUCCGGAUAUCUACGCAUUUCACCACUCCACCCGGAAUUCCGUGUCCCUCUGAAGCCCUCAAGUCCCGCAGUUUUCAAAGCACUUUCCCGGUUGAGCCGGAAACUGUCACUCCAAACUUACAGGACCGCCUGCAUGCGCUUUACGCCCAAUAAAUCCGGACAACGCUUGCCCCCUACGUAUUACCGCGGCUGCUGGCAC
rnacentral:rRNA from 1 species